GGCUGGGGCCGGGGGGAUUCGCCGCUCGGAUUAGGCUACAGAAUAUCACAACCGCUUUCUGAUUGGUCGCCCUUAACGACGCACCUAUACUGACCUUAUACGUUGUAAAUGUGUUCUGUGAGGGUUUUAUCGCGUGGCAAGGGAGGCACUGACCUUCAUUGUAACAUAAUAUCACACAGCUCUGCUCACAACACUUCUCCUGGAAGUCUCCUGUUUUGAACAAGAGCAUUACCGAAGGUCGGCCAGCAUUAGAUGCAAACCAAGACAUGAAAUACUAAAUGUGACUAGAGGAGGAAAAUCUGGUUCCUAUUUCUGACUUCUUAUGACUCACAGGAGCCAGCAGCUCAGCACCGCCUUCUACAGAGAGGCAGAGACACAGAGGCAGAGGAGUGGAUGUCUGUUGUAACAGAGGGAACAGAUAGAGGAAGUGAUUUGGACAGAUCCAGAGAAGGGGAAACAACAGCAAAGUAAAAUGGCUCCUCAGAGGCUGAUAGUCUCUGAGGGGGGAAGGGUGGGGGGACAGGAUAGAGGGAGCCAGAUUGGGGGAGAGAAUGAGGAAAAGAGAAAAGGGCACAAGAAGUAGAGGAAGAAGUUUUGUUUCUGGGGUGUGGGGGAAGAGUUAAGUGGUACAAGGAGGUGGUAGCUCCCAAACAGGAAUUCAGGGGUCACUUCCCUGACUCCCUGCUUCCUGUUGUCUUCUGAACGUGUGCUGAUUGGUUCCAGGACUGUGCAUCAUACGAUAGAACAGAGGCUCAAUGCUCUCCUUGUCUAUAAAUGCUAUGCAUAGCCCCUCCUAUUAUUAACCAGGGCCAUCUUUUUAAAGAAAACCAUUACCUCCUCUGUUCUCAGACUUGUGCUGCCAUAGGAGGAGCACUGUGCUGAAGAAAACAUCAACACAUCAAUUGUUUGCUUGAAGGAUGUGUAGAGGUCACGAGUAAAUGUUCUUGAGUAUAGCUGAAUAAUGUCAAAGGAGUUCACAAUGAACUCAUCCAGGGAAAUAUUGAUUUUAUACUCAUACUAAAGGUCCAUUACAUAAUAUUUAGAUCACCUUUGUUAUAGUAGCAUCUCAACAGAAGGCGUGUCUAGUUUUACAAUUUGAUUAUUGCAAGCCUGUAGUGACUGUUUAGGAUCAUGCUCAUCAUGUUAAGGGUGGGCCUUUGCCAUUGGUUUGGCCUUGGCUCAUGAGGGUACCAUCUGUCCCCUGCUCUAGUGACACGUGUGCAACCAGGGGGGGAGAGAGAGAGAGAAUAAGGAGGGGGGAGAGAUAAAGGAAGGGGAGAGAGAGAUAAAGGAGGGAGAAAUAAAUAAAUAGAUGGAGAGAGAGAUAUAUGGGAGGAAAAAAGAGAUAAAGGAACGAGAAAGAUGAGAUAAAGGAGAGAAUGAGUGGGGGAUGGAGAGAAAGAUAAAGGUCUGUCGAGUGGCAGUUCUUGUAUGCGUUUGUAUGCCAACAUGUGCAUAAACCCACACACAGAGCAUCAGUUACUGACCCCUCAAGGGAUGAGAUACUUCAGCAGGCCCUCUAGGCUCCAUGUCUAGUUAUGUUGUUGGUUACACUGACCUGCUCAUAAUGGGGGAGUGAACCCUGGGCUUGGCUUCUUUAAUUCCAGAUUCAUAAGCAUGUCAUCGCGCUGGUCAUCAGAUGGAUAUUACUCUUUACACUCAUCUUCCCUCUGUGCUGUAAGCUAGCCGAUGAAACGAUAGGGUCAAAGGUUAAGCUUAUCAACCCAAGUGAAUGAAUGUGGUGUAUUAUGAGAUUAAGAUCAUGUCAGAGCGAGUAAGGCGGAAUUGGCACAGACACCGAUGGGUUUGUAAAUUAUAUUUAUUUGGAAUUUCUCACAGCAACACAUAAUAGGGGCCCACGUGCUAGAAAUAGGGGCCACUUCCUGUGUGAACUGUUUCCGUUGUUGACAUUGUGCAAUCCAGAAAAGUAACAUAUGAAGGGUAGAGCCCUGUGCUUUACCAUCACCUCGGUGUUGGCUUUUGAUGGGGGAAAACCAUAGGGCCAGAGAGUUUGGCCUUCCGUGAGGGUGAUCUUCAGUGAGGGACGGAUCUUAGGGAGAUGGAUGCUUAUUCCGAAAACAAUGUCUUCCACAGAUGGGGAGAAAGGUGUGAGGGGGGUGAUAUGGUAAUGGUUGGCAUACAUUUGUUUGUGUCUGUGUGUUUCCACCAAAUCUCAAUGCAGCUCGAGAAUGGAAUAGACUUCCUUCACUUCAGACUGAGGGCCAGGUGCAGUCUAGACAACUUAUAAAAAGGAAACAGCCCCGAGAGUACCAGCUGGAGUUUCAUUUAAUUUGAGGGAUGUCUCUGAAGUGAACGGGAGAAUUCUCAUUUUGGUGGGUGUGUACGAGAAGUGUUGUGAAGGAGAGGUAUUAUCUAUCGUCAGCCCCCAAAGUGUUGACAAAUAGACUAGAUGUUGAAACAAAUACACACAUCUCUUGGACAUCAAGCACCGCGUCUUCCUCCUCCGCACAUGAGUACCACGGCUAAACGUAACCACGGCAACCACAUCUCAGGAGCUGUGGCUAGUUCCAACCGGCGGUUUAAUUGCUUCUAGCUUAAGAAACAUAGAGGGAUGUUUGAGUCUAGCCUUAUGGCUGGACUCAAGAGUGUUACCAUAGGAACAGUUGUGUUUGAACGCUGUCAUCAAGCUGGUACCAGAGAUCUACAUAUCGGAUCUCACACACACACACACACACACACACACACACACACACACACACACACACACACACACACACACACACACACACACACACACACACACACACACACACACACACACACACACACACAAACA